rnacentral:tRNA from 1 species
ACCUGGCUGGCUCACUCCGUGGAGCAUGGGACUCUUGAUCUCGGGGUUGUGAGUUCGAUCCCCAUGUUGGGUG